UGCUCGUGAGUACCCGGCCUAAGUAUAUUUUUUGCUCUGUAAAGUUUAUAUGUUGAUCAAAUGGGCCCAAUCUAAUUUUUUUAUUUAAUUCCUAGCCUUCUACGUCCUUGGGAGAUGAAACCCAAAUCCUAUUUUCAUAGGAAUUGACCCAAACACCGACUAUUGAGCCACCUCCACCCCAAAAGUCAACACAGCGAAAGAGGCCAAACAAAGACCCUGUCCCUGCCAAGGUGGCAAGCAAGAAAAAAACAAAAGAAACAAAGGAAACUUUUCUUAUUGACCCUACGGACUUUGCCACAGAGGAUGUCAUCCAGUAUGUCUAAGAGAGGCCUUCUCUGUGGGACAAAUCCCACAAGAAACACCACGACAACACCUGUACAAGGAGAAAGUGGGAAGAAAUUUAUGUCAAAUUAUUCCCUGAUUUUGCCUCCUAUUCAGAUAAAUUGCAGGAUACCAUUGGAGACCUGGUCGAGAAGAGAUGGUGUUCUGUCCGGGACAGCUACUUUAAAUGGGUCAGAGAAUCCAAUCUGCCUAGUGGAUCUGGAGCAAAAAAGACGACCUACAAACAUGCCAAGAGAUUGGCUUUUUUGACAAAGAACAUCUACAAAUACGGGUAGCUUGCCUCCCCCUGCUGAACCAACAGCUCAACCUGAGGCCAUUCUGGUUGAAGAGACCCCUCAACCUGAGCAGGGUGGAUCGCAACAUCAACCACCUACAGUCACCAGUAGGCUUCGCUCCUCCAUUCGCCAUUCAUCAAAAAAAGGAAAGGACAAUCAAAUGUUCCAAUGCAUCCUGGAUGGCAUUGAAAAAUUGGAGAACAUUUGCACAUCCAAAUUUUUACAUUUGGAUGUGCGUGUUCUUCGAUUAGAAGGCAUGAUUGGAGGCCCCCCCCAAGCCCCUCAAGGGAUUUCUUAAUGACCCUAAUACCCUAUAUGGAGAGGAUGAGUGAGGAGCAGCAGGCUGUUUAUAAACAGCAGCUUAUAAAAUUUACUCAUGAAUUCCUUAACCCCCCACCCACCCAAGCCCCUAUGUAUCCACCUGCAUCACCCUCCUUUCCACAGCAACCCAGAAGUUGGCCAUAUAGCUCAUAUGUCCGACCUUACAAUGAAACCUUUGAGAAAGGGCAAACAUACCGGAGAAUGUAAGGGUUUCACUCCAAAAAGUUGUUUAUGUUUAAUUUUUAUGCCCUAUACUACAUCUUUCAUUCCGCACCUUACUAUCCACCCCUUGAGUGUGCUUGCUGCAGGUUUGAUUAGUUGCGAACAUGUAGACAGAACAUAUUAACGUCAUUGUGCUACAUUCAGGUCACAUUACGGUCUGCCACCUCAAUGCAAGAGUACUUGAGGGUGUGUGUGAACUUUGACCCUCACAUACCUUUGCCUUGAGGUGGCCGAAUGUAACGUGACGCAAAUGUGGAUCUGUGAUGUCAAUAUGGUCUGUCCCAGGUUCCAAUAAAUUAAACCCGAAGCAAGCAGACUCAGGGGGCCGAUUUUAGGAUGGAUGGUGCCGAAUGAAAGAUCUAGUUGGUUAACAUUAUAGGGACACCCACAUUGGGAUGUGUUCUGAGUCCCAAAUCCUUAAGUUUCCAUUAUUCUUUGGAGAAUAAAUAUUGUUAUUUAAUAUUUAUAUUUUUUUUGUAAUGUUAAAUUAUAUUUGUUAAUUUAUGAA